rnacentral:lncRNA from 1 species
UUUGCACUGUCUGAUUUGAGCCAGUUCUCCUCCCCACCCCUCACAGUGGCAUUUUCAGGAUUCUACCGCUUGGUGGCUGUCCCCAGAAGACACUUCCCUGGGUCCUGGCAGUUAAGCAAGGCUUGUCGGGCUCCAGGGAAAGGGGUGCUGCUUUUGGCAUCCUCCUCAAGCCCAGGAGCUGACAGCAAAGGUCUUGUUCAUUCUGCUCUGCUGGAGUGAAGACUGUUGCCAAACCAGAGCGCUCGUUUUUAUUGUUUUUCUAGAACAACAGGACUGUUAUUACAAGUGUUCUGGAAGAGAGGACAGGGAAGCCAAAAACAGAUUCCACAGCAUCUUAAAAAUAGCCAGUAGCAUGUGAAUUGCUCGACUAGCAAGGCCAGGCUCUUGAUGGGUCUGACACAUCUGUGAACCACUGUUUGGCUACUGCCCGACCAUGUCGCAGCCUCCUCCGGAGAGAAAAGCCAGUACCCCUGGCUGCUCCCAGCACUGUCACCCCAAACUCGAAGCAGUGAGACCAGCACCCAGAAGGGGCAGACAGGGAGAAAAUCAGAGGGGGUGAUGGGAAAGGAGAGGCCGCGUGAUCCGCAGGAGACCUCGGAGGCAUUCGGAGACCCAGAGACGGUUUUUGUCUUCUGGAGCAGAAAUAUGUCUGGCUACACUCUCGCCGUCCAGCCAAUGCCAAAACAGAAAUGGGGUCUGUGCUCAGGCAGUAGCACUCGGAACCGAAGACACUCAGAUGUGAGUUUACACAUCUCCGCCGUCUGUGUAGCUCCCAAUAGAUUAUUUAGUCUCGCUGCGCCUCAGGCUCCUCAUCCAUCAAAUGGGGAUUAAUAAUUCCCCAUCAUCGUGCUGUUGUGGGAAGUGAAUACGGUUGAGUGUGGGCAUGCAUGUCAAGCCAUCAGACGCAAGAAGGUCGAGCAUAUAAGAAGCACUCAGAGAACGUGAGCUGAACGUGCAUUUGCAAAAGGUGACUGUUUAAAAUUCAAAAUAUAUUUUUCCCCAGAGAAUUAAUGAAAAAAAAAUGAAAAAUUCCCUAGAGCUCCUGAGAAAAUUGGAUAACAGAACUGAGAAUGUAUAGUCGGCUCAAAGCUGGUACCAGUUCAGUGAACAUUUAUUGAGGGCCAACCACAUGCCGGCCACUGUACCAGCCGCAUGCCAGCCACUGUACUAGCCACUGUACCAGCCGCAUGCCAGCCACUGUACUAGCCACUGUACCAGCCACAUGCCGGCCACUGUACUAGCCACUGUACCAGCCACAUGCCGGCCACUGAACCAACCACAUGCCAGGCACUGUACCAGCCACUGUACCAGCCACUGUACCUGUGACAGGUAGGACUGACUUCUUAAGCAGGGCACAGCCCUGUUUACCUUCUGGUUCUGGACUCAACAAGUGGAGUAGAAAUCAGUUGUCAGCGUUCAAAGCACACUUAAAUGCCCAUCUUUCCAGGUGGGCAAGCUGAGGCCUGGAAAGGGUGUAAAUAACUUGUCCAGGGUCACCCAGCUGCUCCUGUC